CGACUACAUGAAGCUGGAAUCGCUAGUAAUCGCAGAUCAGAAUGCUGCGGUGAAUACGUUCCCGGGUCUUGUACACACCGCCCGUCACACCAUGGGAGUUGGAAAUGCCCGAAGCCAGUGACCCAACCGUAAGGAGGGAGCUGUCGAAGGUGGAGCCGAUGACUGGGGUGAAGUCGUAACAAGGUAUC
rnacentral:rRNA from 1 species